rnacentral:rRNA from 1 species
GACGAACGCUGGCGGCGUGCUUAACACAUGCAAGUCGAACGGAAAGGCCCUGCUUUUGUGGGGUGCUCGAGUGGCGAACGGGUGAGUAACACGUGAGUAACCUGCCCUUGACUUGGGAUAACUUCAGGAAACUGGGGCUAAUACCGGAUAGGAGCCUCUGCUGCAUGGGGGGGGUUGGAAAGUUUCGGCGGUUGGGGAUGGACUCGCGGCUUAUCAGCUUGUUGGUGGGGUAGUGGCUUACCAAGGCUUUGACGGGUAGCCGGCCUGAGAGGGUGACCGGCCACAUUGGGACUGAGAUACGGCCCAGACUCCUACGGGAGGCAGCAGUGGGGAAUAUUGCACAAUGGGCGGAAGCCUGAUGCAGCAACGCCGCGCGCGGGAUGACGGCCUUCGGGUUGUAAACCGCUUUCGCCUGUGACGAAGCGUGAGUGACGGUAAUGGGUAAAGAAGCACCGGCUAACUACGUG